rnacentral:rRNA from 1 species
CACGUAGGGGGCAAGCGUUGUCCGGAAUUACUGGGCGUAAAGCGCGCGCAGGCUGUUUGGUCAGCAGCAGGUGAAAUCACAGGGCUCAACUCUGUGGCUGCUCGCUGAACUGCCAGACUAGGGUUCGGGAGAGGGCAGUGGAAUUCCUGGUGUAGCGGUGGAAUGCGUAAAUAUCAGGAGGAACACCCGUGGCGAAAGCUGCUGCCUGGAACGAUACCGACGCUGAGGCGCGAAAGCUAGGGGAGCGAACGGGAUUA